rfam:Cephalotus follicularis DNA, scaffold: scaffold269, isolate: St1.
AAGAUAAGAGGCAGUCAGGUAGCCGAAGGAGACUGCCUAGAAACCCCAUACGAGCUCUAAACUACCUUCUUUUCUUUUCUUUUUUUCAAAACCCUAGUUGGAUCCAGGCAAGUCAUCCUUGGCUACCAAACAAAGACUCUUUUAUCU